CACAUUUGAAAGUGUAUGCACCUAAGGAAGUUGACUAUAGAAGGCUAGCUGUGACCAAUCAUACCAAGACAAAAUUAGUGCAAAUUACUCAGGAGUUUCUAUUUGCUUAUGAUAUUUUGAGUACUCUAUGAAUUGAAAAUAUUUCUCCAAGUCCUGAAUUCAAUGGUAAAGGACAGAACAAUGGGUGGGGAAGAGGGGGGGCGACAUCAAGGUCCAUCUAUAGAGGCAACUA
rnacentral:lncRNA from 1 species